AUUUGGCGGACGGGUGAGUAAUGCCUAGGAAUCUGCCUGGUAGUGGGGGACAACGUUUCGAAAGGAACGCUAAUACCGCAUACGUCCUACGGGAGAAAGUGGGGGAUCUUCGGACCUCACGCUAUCAGAUGAGCCUAGGUCGGAUUAGCUAGUUGGUGGGGUAACGGCUCACCAAGGCGACGAUCCGUAACUGGUCUGAGAGGAUGAUCAGUCACACUGGAACUGAGACACGGUCCAGACUCCUACGGGAGGCAGCAGUGGGGAAUAUUGGACAAUGGGCGAAAGCCUGAUCCAGCCAUGCCGCGUGUGUGAAGAAGGCCCUCGGGUCGUAAAGCACUUUAAGCUGGGAGGAAGGGUUGUAACCUAAUACGUUGCAAUUUUGACGUUACCAGCAGAAUAAGCACCGGCUAACUCUGUGCCAGCAGCCGCGGUAAUAAUC
rnacentral:rRNA from 1 species